GAUGAACGCUGGCGGCGUGCUUAACACAUGCAAGUCGAACGGACUUUACUUGAAGCCUAGCGAUAGUAAAGUUAGUGGCGGACGGGUGAGUAACGCGUGGGUAACCUGCCGUAUGCUGGGGGACAACAGUUGGAAACGACUGCUAAUACCGCAUAAGCGCACAGUACCGCAUGGUACGGUGUGAAAAACUCCGGUGGCAUACGAUGGACCCGCGUCUGAUUAGCUAGUUGGUGAGGUAACGGCCCACCAAGGCGACGAUCAGUAGCCGGCCUGAGAGGGUGAACGGCCACAUUGGGACUGAGACACGGCCCCAAACUCCUACGGGAGGCAGCAGUGGGGAAUAUUGCACAAUGGGGGAAACCCUGAUGCAGCGACGCCGCGUGAGUGAAGAAGUAUUUCGGUAUGUAAAGCUCUAUCAGCAGGGAGAAAAUGACGGUACCUGACUAAGAAGCCCCGGCUAACUACGUG
rnacentral:rRNA from 1 species